rnacentral:tRNA from 1 species
GCACUCUUAGCUCAGCUGGUAGAGCAAUUGACUCUUAAUCAAUGGGUCCAGGGUUCG